GGAUGAACGCUGGCGGCGUGCUUAACACAUGCAAGUCGAACGGAAAGGCCCAAGCUUGCUUGGGUACUCGAGUGGCGAACGGGUGAGUAACACGUGGGUGAUCUGCCCUGCACUUCGGGAUAAGCCUGGGAAACUGGGUCUAAUACYGGAUAGGACCACUUCUUGGAUGKUGUGGUGGAAAGUUUUUUCGGUGUGGGAUGAGCUCGCGGCCUAUCAGCUUGUUGGUGGGGUAAUGGCCUACCAAGGCGUCGACGGGUAGCCGGCCUGAGAGGGUGUACGGCCACAUUGGGACUGAGAUACGGCCCAGACUCCUACGGGAGGCAGCAGUGGGGAAUAUUGCACAAUGGGCGCAAGCCUGAUGCAGCGACGCCGCGUGGGGGAUGACGGCCUUCGGGUUGUAAACUCCUUUCGCUAGGGACGAAGCGUUUUUGUGACGGUACCUGGAGAAGAAGCACCGGCUAACUAC
rnacentral:rRNA from 1 species